rnacentral:lncRNA from 1 species
UGUACUUUUAAUUUAACUGUUUUAAAGAAGCUUCUUGUAUUUGUAGAGUUAAAGAGCUCUUCUUCCUUGGCACCAUCAGCUUCUAUGAGAAGGUGGGAAACCUGGCAGAAUAAGAGCCAGGCUGUACCAACUCCAACUCCCCUCACCCCCAGUCUCUCUGGCUCUGUUAUCAGCACUAGCCUUGGAAUCUGCUAUGUCAGGUCUGAAAGCUGAUCCUGGGUAAUACACAGAGCCAUGUGAAGUCUCUGGGGAUGGCUUUGGAGACCUGCUUCUCCUCAUGGGAUGCGACUGGGAUAGGUCUGGUAUGUAAGAGUUCUAGAGGCGGAGAUGUGCAGCCUAUGUACCAGAGGUUAAAGCAUAAAGUAACAAGUCUAUGGCCAGAAGAAAAUCACAUCGAGGCUACAUGUCGGUCCAUGGCCAAGGAGCAACGUGAAGAAGCUGCUUAGAGUGUCCCAGAAGGACUUGUCUGACCCACGGAUGAUCCUGAGUGAAGUGAGCAAAUCUGCCAAGAACAUGUAUAUACAAAGCCACACACAAUCUCUGUUCUCACCAGCAGAAACGCAGGGAGCUCUCAUCUGCCCCCUCCUUGUCAGCAUUUGCCCUCUCUGUGUUGCUGAUAGACCAUGGAUGACAGCAGCUGUGACGCGGUCGCCCUGUGGUUUUGUCUUCAUCCCUGAUGGGCUGCAGAAGUUUUCAUGUGUUCAGGAUUUCUUACCAGACUCAGGACUGCAAGUGCUCACUGUCACUUCACUGUCCUAACUAAGAAAUCACCAAGUCUGCACUCAUGAAGUCAUGAAGGCAGCCUUCCUUUGCUUUCAUUUGAAUUUUAUCUCUUUGGUUUAGAUCUUUUCAUCCCUUUGUGGUUUUUUGUUUUUUGUUUUUUAAGAUGAGGGUCUCAUUGUCAUGUCCAGUGUUGCUUGGAGUUCCUGGACCUAUGCAGUUCUCCUGUCUCAACCUCUUGAGUAGCUGAGGAACCUGCCACCACCUCAGCAUUUUUACGUAUAGUAUAAGGCAAAAGGUCUGGGUAUGUGGAUAUCCAGU